rnacentral:rRNA from 1 species
AGCAGUCGCCGCGGUAAAACGUAGGUCCCGAGCGUUGUCCGGAUUUAUUGGGCGUAAAGCGAGCGCAGGCGGUUAGAUAAGUCUGAAGUUAAAGGCUGUGGCUUAACCAUAGUACGCUUUGGAAACUGUUUAACUUGAGUGCAAGAGGGGAGAGUGGAAUUCCAUGUGUAGCGGUGAAAUGCGUAGAUAUAUGGAGGAACACCGGUGGCGAAAGCGGCUCUCUGGCUUGUAACUGACGCUGAGGCUCGAAAGCGUGGGGAGCAAACAGGAUUAGAUACCCCAGUAGUCCCUGUCUCUUAUACC